rnacentral:rRNA from 1 species
AGUGAACGCUGGCGGUAGGCCUAACACAUGCAAGUCGAACGGCAGCACAGUAAGAGCUUGCGCUUACGGGCGUCGAGCGGCGGACGGGGGAGGAAUACAUCGGAAUACACUCUGUCGUGGGGGAUAACGCAGGGAAACUUACGCUAAUACCGCAUACGACCUACGGGUGAAAGCAGGCGAUCUUCUGACCUUUCGCGAUGGAAUGAGCCGAUGUCGGAUGAGAUAGUUGGCGGGGUAAAGGCGAAACACGGCGACGAUCCGUAGCUGGUCUGAGAGGAUGAUCCGCCAGACGGGAAGUGAGAAACGUUCGAGACUCCGACGGGGAGCAACAGUCGAGAAUAUUGGGCAAGGGGGGAGAGGCUGAUCUAGGACUACCGGGUAGGUGAAGAAGGCCUUCGGGUUGUAAAGCGCUGUUGUUGGGAGAGAAGAGCAGCAGGUUAAUACCGGGCGGUACUGACGGUACCCGAAGAAUAAGCACCGGCUAACUUCGUG